rnacentral:tRNA from 1 species
UGCGGUAGAGCUCAGUGGUACAGCAUGUGCUUAGCAUGUACCAGACUCUGGGUUCCAUCUCCAGCACCGGAA